UGACCCGUCUCACUGGGACUGAGACACUGCCCAGACACCUACGGGUGGCUGCAGUCGAGAAUCUUCGGCAAUGGGCGAAAAGCCUGACCGAGCGAUGCCGCGUGCGGGAUGAAGGCCCUCGGGUUGUAAACCGCUGUCGUAGGGGAGGAAGGUUCCGUGAAGAGCGGAAUUUGACCUAUCCUAGGAGGAAGUACGGGCUAAGUUCGUGCCAGCAGCCGCGGUAACACGAACCGUACGAACGUUAUUCGGAAUUACUGGGCUUAAAGGGUUUGUAGGCGGCCUUGUAAGUCAGGUGUGAAAGCCCUCGGCUCAACCGAGGAACAGCGCUUGAUACUGCAAGGCUUGAGGGAGACAGGGGUAAGCGGAACUGAUGGUGGAGCGGUGAAAUGCGUUGAUAUCAUCAGGAACACCGGUGGCGAAAGCGGCUUACUGGGUCUCUUCUGACGCUGAGGAACGAAAGCUAGGGUAGCGAACGGGAUUAGAUACCCCGGUAGUCCUAGCUGUAAACGAUGAGCACUUAUCU
rnacentral:rRNA from 1 species